UACGAAGGGUGCAAGCGUUAAUCGGAUUCAUUGGGCGUAAAGGGUGCGUAGGCGGUGGGGUAAGUUGGAUGUGAAAUCUUGGGGCUUAACCUCAAAAUUGCAUUCAAUACUGCUCCGCUCGAGUUCUGUAGAGGAGAUUGGAAUUUACGGUGUAGCAGUGAAAUGCGUAGAUAUCGUAAGGAACGCCAGUGGCGAAAGCGAAUCUCUGGGCAGCAACUGACGCUGAGGCACGAAGGCCAGGGGAGCAAACGGG
rnacentral:rRNA from 1 species